rnacentral:rRNA from 1 species
UGCUCCUUGAUUCAGCGGCGGACGGGUGAGUAAUGCCUAGGAAUCUGCCUGGUAGUGGGGGACAACGUUUCGAAAGGAACGCUAAUACCGCAUACGUCCUACGGGAGAAAGCAGGGGACCUUCGGGCCUUGCGCUAUCAGAUGAGCCUAGGUCGGAUUAGCUAGUUGGUGAGGUAAUGGCUCACCAAGGCGACGAUCCGUAACUGGUCUGAGAGGAUGAUCAGUCACACUGGAACUGAGACACGGUCCAGACUCCUACGGGAGGCAGCAGUGGGGAAUAUUGGACAAUGGGCGAAAGCCUGAUCCAGCCAUGCCGCGUGUGUGAAGAAGGUCUUCGGAUUGUAAAGCACUUUAAGUUGGGAGGAAGGGCAGUAAGCUAAUACCUUGCUGUUUUGACGUUACCGACAGAAUAAGCACCGGCUAACUCUGUGCCAGCAGCCGCGGUAAUACAGAGGGUGCAAGCGUUAAUCGGAAUUACUGGGCGU